rnacentral:rRNA from 1 species
UACGUAGGGGGCGAGCGUUGUCCGGAUUCAUUGGGCGUAAAGAGCUCGUAGGCGGUUCGGUAAGUCAGGUGUGAAAACUCCAGGCUCAACUUGGAGACGCCACCUGAUACUGUCGUGACUAGAGUCCGGUAGGGGAGGCAUGGAAUUCCUGGUGUAGCGGUGAAAUGCGCAGAUAUCAGGAAGAACACCAACGGCGAAGGCAGCUCGCUGGGACGGUACUGACGCUGAGACGCGAAAGCGUGGGGAGCAAACAGG